rnacentral:rRNA from 1 species
UUAAGUUAUUAAGGGCGCACGGUGGAUGCCUUGGCACUAGAAGCCGAUGAAGGACGUUACUAACGACGAUAUGCUUUGGGGAGCUGUAAGUAAGCUUUGAUCCAGAGAUUUCCGAAUGGGGAAACCCAGCAUGAGUUAUGUCAUGUUAUCGAUAUGUGAAUACAUAGCAUAUCAGAAGGCACACCCGGAGAACUGAAACAUCUUAGUACCCGGAGGAAGAGAAAGAAAAUUCGAUUCCCUUAGUAGCGGCGAGCGAAACGGGAAGAGCCCAAACCAACAAGCUUGCUUGUUGGGGUUGUAGGACACUCUAUACGGAGUUACAAAGGACGACAUUAGACGAAUCAUCUGGAAAGAUGAAUCAAAGAAGGUAAUAAUCCUGUAGUCGAAAAUGUUGUCUCUCUUGAGUGGAUCCUGAGUACGACGGAGCACGUGAAAUUCCGUNGGAAUCUGGGAGGACCAUCUCCUAAGGCUAAAUACUCUCUAGUGACCGAUAGUGAACCAGUACCGUGAGGGAAAGGUGAAAAGCACCCCGGAAGGGGAGUGAAAUAGAACCUGAAACCGUGUGCUUACAAGUAGUCAGAGCCCGUUAAUGGGUGAUGGCGUGCCUUUUGUAGAAUGAACCGGCGAGUUACGAUUUGAUGCAAGGUUAAGCAGUAAAUGUGGAGCCGUAGCGAAAGCGAGUCUGAAUAGGGCGUUUAGUAUUUGGUCGUAGACCCGAAACCAGGUGAUCUACCCUUGGUCAGGUUGAAGUUCAGGUAACACUGAAUGGAGGACCGAACCGACUUACGUUGAAAAGUGAGCGGAUGAACUGAGGGUAGCGGAGAAAUUCCAAUCGAACCUGGAGAUAGCUGGUUCUCUCCGAAAUAGCUUUAGGGCUAGCCUCAAGUGAUGAUUAUUGGAGGUAGAGCACUGUUUGGACGAGGGGCCCCUCUCGGGUUACCGAAUUCAGACAAACUCCGAAUGCCAAUUAAUUUAACUUGGGAGUCAGAACAUGGGUGAUAAGGUCCGUGUUCGAAAGGGAAACAGCCCAGACCACCAGCUAAGGUCCCAAAAUAUAUGUUAAGUGGAAAAGGAUGUGGCGUUGCCCAGACAACUAGGAUGUUGGCUUAGAAGCAGCCAUCAUUUAAAGAGUGCGUAAUAGCUCACUAGUCGAGUGACACUGCGCCGAAAAUGUACCGGGGCUAAACAUAUUACCGAAGCUGUGGAUUGUCCUUUGGACAAUGGUAGGAGAGCGUUCUAAGGGCGUUGAAGCAUGAUCGUAAGGACAUGUGGAGCGCUUAGAAGUGAGAAUGCCGGUGUGAGUAGCGAAAGACGGGUGAGAAUCCCGUCCACCGAUUGACUAAGGUUUCCAGAGGAAGGCUCGUCCGCUCUGGGUUAGUCGGGUCCUAAGCUGAGGCCGACAGGCGUAGGCGAUGGAUAACAGGUUGAUAUUCCUGUACCACCUAUAAUCGUUUUAAUCGAUGGGGGGACGCAGUAGGAUAGGCGAAGCGUGCGAUUGGAUUGCACGUCUAAGCAGUAAGGCUGAGUAUUAGGCAAAUCCGGUACUCNNUAAGGCUGAGCUGUGAUGGGGAGAAGACAUUGUGUCUUCGAGUCGUUGAUUUCACACUGCCGAGAAAAGCCUCUAGAUAGAAAAUAGGUGCCCGUACCGCAAACCGACACAGGUAGUCAAGAUGAGAAUUCUAAGGUGAGCGAGCGAACUCUCGUUAAGGAACUCGGCAAAAUGACCCCGUAACUUCGGGAGAAGGGGUGCUCUUUAGGGUUAACGCCCAGAAGAGCCGCAGUGAAUAGGCCCAAGCGACUGUUUAUCAAAAACACAGGUCUCUGCUAAACCGUAAGGUGAUGUAUAGGGGCUGACGCCUGCCCGGUGCUGGAAGGUUAAGAGGAGUGGUUAGCUUCUGCGAAGCUACGAAUCGAAGCCCCAGUAAACGGCGGCCGUAACUAUAACGGUCCUAAGGUAGCGAAAUUCCUUGUCGGGUAAGUUCCGACCCGCACGAAAGGCGUAACGAUUUGGGCACUGUCUCAACGAGAGACUCGGUGAAAUCAUAGUACCUGUGAAGAUGCAGGUUACCCGCGACAGGACGGAAAGACCCCGUGGAGCUUUACUGUAGCCUGAUAUUGAAAUUCGGCACAGCUUGUACAGGAUAGGUAGGAGCCUUUGAAACGUGAGCGCUAGCUUACGUGGAGGCGCUGGUGGGAUACUACCCUAGCUGUGUUGGCUUUCUAACCCGCACCACUUAUCGUGGUGGGAGACAGUGUCAGGCGGGCAGUUUGACUGGGGCGGUCGCCUCCUAAAAGGUAACGGAGGCGCUCAAAGGUUCCCUCAGAAUGGUUGGAAAUCAUUCAUAGAGUGUAAAGGCAUAAGGGAGCUUGACUGCGAGACCUACAAGUCGAGCAGGGUCGAAAGACGGACUUAGUGAUCCGGUGGUUCCGCAUGGAAGGGCCAUCGCUCAACGGAUAAAAGCUACCCCGGGGAUAACAGGCUUAUCUCCCCCAAGAGUUCACAUCGACGGGGAGGUUUGGCACCUCGAUGUCGGCUCAUCGCAUCCUGGGGCUGUAGUCGGUCCCAAGGGUUGGGCUGUUCGCCCAUUAAAGCGGUACGCGAGCUGGGUUCAGAACGUCGUGAGACAGUUCGGUCCCUAUCCGUCGUGGGCGUAGGAAAUUUGAGAGGAGCUGUCCUUAGUACGAGAGGACCGGGAUGGACAUACCUCUGGUGUACCAGUUGUCGUGCCAACGGCAUAGCUGGGUAGCUAUGUGUGGACGGGAUAAGUGCUGAAAGCAUCUAAGCAUGAAGCCCCCCUCAAGAUGAGAUUUCCCAACUUCGGUUAUAAGAUCCCUCAAAGAUGAUGAGGUUAAUAGGUUCGAGGUGGAAGCAUGGUGACAUGUGGAGCUGACGAAUACUAAUCGAUCGAAGACUUAAUCAA